UACGUAGGGGGCAAGCGUUGUCCGGAAUCAUUGGGCGUAAAGAGCGCGUAGGCGGCCCUGUAAGUCCGCUGUGAAAGUCAAGGGCUCAACCCUUGAAUGCCGGUGGAUACUGCAGGGCUAGAGUCCGGAAGAGGCGAGUGGAAUUCCUGGUGUAGCGGUGAAAUGCGCAGAUAUCAGGAGGAACACCGAUGGCGAAGGCAGCUCGCUGGGCAUGAUCUGACGCUGAGGAGCGAAAGUGUGGGGAGCGAACAGG
rnacentral:rRNA from 1 species